rnacentral:rRNA from 1 species
AUUGAACGCUGGCGGCAGGCCUAACACAUGCAAGUCGAGCGGAUGAAGGGAGCUUGCUCCUGGAUUCAGCGGCGGACGGGUGAGUAAUGCCUAGGAAUCUGCCUGGUAGUGGGGGAUAACGUCCGGAAACGGGCGCUAAUACCGCAUACGUCCUGAGGGAGAAAGUGGGGGAUCUUCGGACCUCACGCUAUCAGAUGAGCCUAGGUCGGAUUAGCUAGUUGGUGGGGUAAAGGCCUACCAAGGCGACGAUCCGUAACUGGUCUGAGAGGAUGAUCAGGCACCCUGGAACUGAGACACGGUCCAGACUCCUACGGGAGGCAGCAGUGGGGAAUAUUGGACAAUGGGCGAAUGCCUAAUCCAGCCAUGCCGCGUGUGUGAAGAAGGUCUUCGGAUUGUAAAGCACUUUAAGUUGGGAGGAAGGGCAGUAAGUUAAUACCUUGCUGUUUUGACGUUACCAACAGAAUAAGCACCGGCUAACUUCGUG